UACGUAGGGUGCAAGCGUUAAUCGGAAUUACUGGGCGUAAAGCGUGCGCAGGCGGUUUUGUAAGUCUGACGUGAAAUCCCCGGGCUCAACCUGGGAAUUGCGUUGGAGACUGCAAGGCUAGAAUCUGGCAGAGGGGGGUAGAAUUCCACGUGUAGCAGUGAAAUGCGUAGACAUGUGGAGGAACACCGAUGGCGAAGGCAGCCCCCUGGGUCAAGAUUGACGCUCAUGCACGAAAGCGUGGGGAGCAAACAGG
rnacentral:rRNA from 1 species